rnacentral:rRNA from 1 species
UACGUAGGGUCCGAGCGUUGUCCGGAUUUAUUGGGCGUAAAGAGCUCGUAGGCGGUUUCGUAAGUCGGAUGUGAAAUCUCAGGGCUCAACCCGGAAACUGCACCCGAUACUGCGAUGACUUGAGUCUAGUAGGGGAACACGGAAUUCCUGGUGUAGCGGUGGAAUGCGCAGAUAUCAGGAGGAACACCGAUGGCGAAGGCAGGUCACUGGGCCGCAACUGACGCUGAGGAGCGAAAGCAUGGGGAGCGAACAGG